AUUGUGAUGCAGGAUGAGAAAUAAAAUAUAAGAAGGACAACUCCAGGCUUUUGUCUGAAGUGACUGGCAGCCAGGAGUGAUUGUCAAGAUGGGAAAGACUAAGGAAAGAGCAUGCUUGGGGUGAGGGCAUCCUAAAUGGAGAUAAAUGAACACUAGGUUUGGGUUUGUUGUAUUUUAGAACAGAAAACAAUUGAAACUGAUGAGCGGGCAGCUGGAUGUAGGAGUCUGAGGUUUAAGGUGGGGGCAGGAAGAAAUCUGGUCUGGAAAUUAUCAGAAUUUGAGAGUCUUUGGUGUAUGAGUAGACUCAGAUCCCCUGGAGAAUGAAUAGAGAGUAGAGGGGUUAGCACUGAACUCUCCCAAAAUUUAGACAUUGGAAAAAUGAGGAGGAACCUGGGAAAGCGUUGGAGGACGGUGAACAACAGGAUCCAAGGAGCAUCAGGAGAAAGUGAGCUUUGAAUGCCAAGUGAAGGAGGUGGUUCAAGGGGCUAACUUUCAACUUUGAAAAAGAGGUUCUGGUUUGUUAGAAUCUUCCAUGGUACCUGGAGGCUAAGAGAAGCUGGUUGCUUUCAAGCCACAACAGUUGCUGAAGGAAGUGAGAUUACGUGCAGGGUCUCAUCCAUCCAGCCAUCAGCAGCCACAGAAAAUACAUGUUCGGCUGUAUAUUGUUUUAUCCAAUUUAAAGAGUUAAGUAGAAAAUGUUUUUCUGAUUGGAAGUCAUUUCUGCUCUUCCUGGGUUGUUAGGUACUUCAUCACAAGGGUAG
rnacentral:lncRNA from 1 species